rnacentral:rRNA from 1 species
AACGAACGCUGGCGGCAUGCCUAACACAUGCAAGUCGAACGAGACCUUCGGGUCUAGUGGCGCACGGGUGCGUAACGCGUGGGAACCUGCCUUUAGGUUCGGAAUAACUCAGAGAAAUUUGAGCUAAUACCGGAUGAUGUCUUCGGACCAAAGAUUUAUCGCCUUUAGAUGGGCCCGCGUUGGAUUAGCUAGUUGGUGGGGUAAAGGCCUACCAAGGCGACGAUCCAUAGCUGGUCUGAGAGGAUGAUCAGCCACACUGGGACUGAGACACGGCCCAGACUCCUGCGGGGGGGAGCAGGGGGGAAUAUUGGAAAAGGGGCGAAAGCCUAAUCCAGCAAUGCCGGGUGAGGGAGGAAGGCCUUAGGGUUGAAAAGCUUUUUUACCCGAGUUGAUAAUGAAGGUAUCGGGGAAAAAAGCUCCGGCUAACUCCGU